GGAGGAACUCCAAAACCGGCUUUAAAUAUGGUGAUGUCGGGGUUGGUGGGAUGUGGAGUGGGAGAUGCAUAGUUUUUUUAUCAACUCACCCUGCAGUUUUCAACCAAGACCCUUAGGAAAUUUCGCAGCGAUAUUGCACACACGUUGAAAUUGACGUGGACACCUGUUUUAUAAAAUUGUUUCUGAAUGUUUUCCUUUUUCCUAAAUUUGAAACAUCUUAUUCAGUAAAAUUUACAAAAACAUGGUAUGUUUG
rnacentral:lncRNA from 1 species